GGACUGCUCGAUCUGUCUGGCUGGGCUAGAAGGCAGAGGGAGAACAGGUAGCCAGGUGCUGAGCAGGGUGGAGCACCUGUUCUUUGGCUGGCCAAUUGCCACGGGUGUUCACAGAUGGCUGUGGGGGGUUCAAUUAAAUGGGUUUGGGUGAGGGUGGCAAGGUCUUUUGCAGAGUCCUGGGACUGGGCAUCAGUGGAGGGGAAGAAAGGAGAACUCUCCUCCUCCAAAGUGGAAAUAAGGGCUGUUGUCAAGUUGGCCCUUCUCCUCUGGGGUCUGGAUGAGAACUUUGCCCAGCACCUCAGGGCUGCCUGUGCUUUCCCAUCAUCCUCCUUUCUCAGCAGGUGAGGAUGGGCCUUUCUCCCUGGAGUCCAGCACUGCAAUUUCCCAUCAUCCUCCUUUCUCAGCAGGUGAGGAUGGGCCUUUCUCCCUGGAGUCCAGCACUGCGAUUUCCCAUCAUCCUCCUUUCUCAACAGGUGAGGAUGGGCCUUUCUCCCUGGAGUCCAGCACUGCGAUUUCCCAUCAUCCUCCUUUCUCAGCAGGUGAGGAUGGGCCUUUCUCCCUGGAGUCCAGCACUGAGGUGAUUUACAAGUCGCAGUUGAAUACUUGACUUUCCCUUCUUGAGUGUCCUGGAUACCAUACGCCUGGAUUCUGACCCUGGGCUCAAGCCUGGUCUUUUCUACAGUGCCUUCCCUCCUGCAAAGAUGAUUCUAUGACUACUCGGGCUAGCCAGGUUGAAUGUAGAAGCUGAUAAAGAGUCCAACUGGCUUCUGUUAAAUCCAACAUUAAAGAGCUUUGGAAAGCAG